GACGUCGAAUACCGACGUCACAAACACCAAAGUUGUUCGUGUUUAUGACGUCGAAUAUCGACGUCAUAAACACUAAAGUUGUUCGUGUUUAUGACGUCGAAUAUCGACGUCAUAAACACCAAAGUUGUUCGUGUUUAUGACGUCGAAUAUCGACGUCAUAAACACCAAAGUUGUUCGUGUUUAUGACGUCGAAUAUCGACGUCAUAAACACCAAAGUUGUUCGUGUUUAUGACGUCGAAUAUCGCCGUC